GACAGAGGUGCCAAGCGUUAGGCGGAAUCACUGGGCUUAAAGCGUGUGUAGGCGGAGUGCUAAGUACCUUGUGAAAUCCCCGGGCUCAACCUGGGAACUGCAUCUGUGACUGUAUAGCUAGAGUACGGUAGAGGGGGAUGGAAUUCCGCGUGUAGCAGUGAAAUGCGUAGAUAUGCGGAGGAACACCGAUGGCGAAGGCAAUCCCCUGGACCUGUACUGACGCUCAUGCACGAAAGCGUGGGGAGCAACAGG
rnacentral:rRNA from 1 species